AAGCGCUUGCAGCCAGACUUGUCUGUAGUUGCUCAUCCGGGCUUUUGCCCGGUGCAUUCUUCUACAAACAGGCCAGCAUCAGUUUGGACGGUUGGAUAAAGGUCUCUGUCACGUACCUCCUUUCGGGGAGGCCUUAUAGGGGAGGCGACAUGCAACCAGUCUGGACUGAGGUCCGCGCAUCUGCUAGGAUGCUGGCGUAAUGGCUGUAAGCGG
rnacentral:rRNA from 1 species